GGUGUGGUUUUGGUUUUUUUUGUGUUUUUUUUUUUUUUUUUUCCACCCCGAGAGCCCGGAGGCCGGUGAGGGGCAGGGGGGGGUACCCGACGUGAGCAGCCCGCCCCCCCCUCUCCUCCCGCCUCCGCCCGCGGGCUGCCGAAGUAAAAAGUGUGCUCUGAUGGCAACAGGUCUGGGGUUUCUUAUUCCUUCCGCGCUAACAAACCCUUCCGAGGCCCCUUUCGAGGAGGGGGGGGCGGGGGAGGGGAGGGGGGGCUUCCCCACCGCCAACCCCCGGGGUGAAGAGAACACCCCCCCCCCUGGCCCGACCUUUACGGGUUUUUGCCUUGCAGCUCUGCCAAAACCUGCAUUUUAAAUGACUUUCCAACCCCCCUCUCCCCACCCCGGGAUGCCCAAGGCUGGGGGAGCGAUACCCGCGGAGCAGGGUGGGCUGUGCCCCCCUGGGGAUUUCGGCUUCGGUGGGGGAAAUAACCCCAUACUCCCCCCCUGGUGUGUCCCCCUCCAUCUGGGUUUCACGCUAGAAAACCACUAUAUGUACUUUUUCUUAACCCACCUGGAAGCCUCACCAACAGGUGACUUCUUACAGCCACGUUUAAGGGAGGGAGAAAUUUAUGCUUGCACGGAAUUUGACUUAUUUUAUUAGUUUUUUUCUUCCUCCGUCUCCUCUGUAGAGAUAACAGAGCAUCUUUCGAUGAGAGGUUUGCAUAGCUGCUUGUCAUACUGCCGGGGGGCUUGCGCUGGUUGCCGGUGAUAAAUCAAUGUAUCGACAUUUGCUGUAGGAGGAGUGGAACCAGCAUAAACGCUUGCUGGGGAUCACAGCAGAGGGAUGGGGGCAAAAAGGUUCAAGCGACCUGCCUGUGAGAAAAUAUCUCUCGUGACACCCAAAGUCCUGCGGUGAAACUGUUCAUUGUCAAUAUUUGUAAUGCUGAUAAGAAUCGGGAAGUUUUCCGGAGAAGCCGUGCAGCCUUCAGACCGCUCGGUUUCCCUCGGUUUAUCCCGAGCUGGCAUGAAGGUGGCCAAGCUACCGAAUGCUUAUAGGCGUCUUUAGGAGAUGUUAUCAGAAGUUUCCCUUAGGAGAUGUUAUCAGAAGUUUCCAUUUGGAUAGGCAAGGUGAAACUCAGCAUUUACAAAAUGCGCCAGAGCUCGAGGGGGAUGAGAUGAAGCUGGAGUGAGACAACGGCUUGACUGGGGGGAAACUUUUGGUGGAAAAUGAGACAAAACAGAGUGUCUCAGUGCAGUCGUGUUGAGCAGAAAUCUCAGCCAUGUACUCGCUCAUUUACAGCUACAUUUAAGGGAAAGACAAAGAACAGCUCUGCCUGUUCUCUGGGAAACAAAUAUGCCAUGGACUUCGUCAUUACAUCAAAACAAAUGUUACUAAGCCAUUAUCAGCUGAAACAUCGGUGAGAAAUUUAACCGAAGCUCUCCUUUCUUUACCCCUUAGGGCUGGAGAAACAUGAGAUAAAGCAGGAUUUUAAAAUAAUACGAAGCCACCACUUUUUCCAACAUCGUAAAUCUGAGGCACGGAAAACUCCCGGUCCUGUAAUGAAACUGCAGAAUUUUCAACCUCAGCCCAGGAGCACGCGUGGCCUCGUGCCUCUCGCCCGAGGAUCCCUGACAAGAUGGCUGCACGCGUCGUGUCAGGGACGUGUUUAGAAAAGCACCUGGAAAGCUGCCCGGAGAGUCUGUGGCGUCAAGUAAAGCCCCGUCAGCUCCUAGAAGGUGCUGGAAACAAAAAAUCUACCUUGCUGCAGUGCUGAGGAGCCAGGCCGGAGGAACAUAACGGCCCAUCAAACCCACGGUGGCUGCAGGCGGCAGCGGCAGCAAAGCCGUCCCCCACGUCAAAGGAGAUGGAGCAGCACGGCCCCGGCACGAAGGGGACGGGCAUUGGGCUUCAAACAAAAGUUAGGGAUGAUUUUACAGUGUGAUAUCAAUGUACUUGCACGUAAAAUGGCAGGUUUGUGCUGUAUUUGCGAACAUACCAUGAAAUAAAUAAUGAAUUAGUUGUCCCC